ACUUAAAUAGUUUUAUAUAAAAUAUUAAUUUGUGGGAUUAGAGAAGUAAUAGUUACUUUAAGUA
rnacentral:tRNA from 1 species